UUAUAGGUGAGACUUAUACCGAGGACGAAAGUAACCAAACUAGGCGUGGGGGUUACGAACCGGCUACUUAUCAGUUCUAGGUAGCGUUUGUUGUUGGAUCUCGAGGUUUCCAGCUGAAGUUCUGACAAACCAUCACUCAUGUAGGAUUAUCUUCGAGUAUUGUAAAUUAGUACAUCUUAUGUUCGACUGCACUUAGACCUUGUGCUCUGGUUGUGUAUUCACACUUAAACUUAUCUUAGAACCUAUGGUAUUUGGUUUUGAAUUA